rnacentral:misc_RNA from 1 species
UCUCCGUAGGUGAACCUGCGGAGGGAUCAUUACCGAGCGAGGGCCUCCGGGUCCGACCUCCAACCCUUUGUGAACACAUCCCGUUGCUUCGGGGGCGACCCUGCCGGGCGCCCCCGGAGGACCACUUCAAAACACUGCAUCCAAUGCGUCGGAGUUUACGAGUAAAUCGAAACAAAACUUUCAACAACGGAUCUCUUGGUUCUG